rnacentral:tRNA from 1 species
GCGAGGGUGGCGGAAUUGGCAGACGCGCUAGACUUAGGAUCUAGUAUCGCAAGGUAUGGGGGUUCGACUCCCCCCCCUCGCACCA